rnacentral:rRNA from 1 species
UGGGGAAUUGUUCGCAAUGGGCGCAAGCCUGACGACGCAACGCCGCGUGGAGGAUGAAGGUCUACGGAUUGUAAACUCCUGUUGCCCGGGACGAAAUGUUCAGACCUAACACGUCUGAGUUUGACGGUACCGGGUGAGGCAGCCCCGGCUAACUCUGUGCCAGCAGCCGCGGUAAUACGUAGGCAGCAAGCGUUGUUCGGAAUUACUGGGCGUAAAGAGUGUGUAGGUGGUGUCGUAAGUUUGGUGUGAAAUCUCCCGGCUUAACUGGGAGGGUGCGCCGAAGACUGCGAUGCUGGAGUAUGGGAGAGGAAAGCGGAAUUCCUGGUGUAGCGGUGAAAUGCGUAGAUAUCAGGAGGAACACCUGCGGUGUAGACGGCUUUCUGGACCAUUACUGACACUGAGACACGAAAGCGUGGGUAGCAAA